AUUGAACGCUGGCGGCAGGCCUAACACAUGCAAGUCGAACGGCAGCACAGAAGAGCUUGCUCUUUGGGUGGCGAGUGGCGGACGGGUGAGUAAUGUCUGGGAAACUGCCCGAUGGAGGGGGAUAACUACUGGAAACGGUAGCUAAUACCGCAUAACGUCGCAAGACCAAAGUGGGGGACCUUCGGGCCUCACACCAUCGGAUGUGCCCAGAUGGGAUUAGCUAGUAGGUGGGGUAAUGGCUAACCUAGGCGACGAUCCCUAGCUGGUCUGAGAGGAUGACCAGCCACACUGGAACUGAGACACGGUCCAGACUCCUACGGGAGGCAGCAGUGGGGAAUAUUGCACAAUGGGCGCAAGCCUGAUGCAGCCAUGCCGCGUGUAUGAAGAAGGCCUUCGGGUUGUAAAGUACUUUCAGCGGGGAGGAAGGCGGUGAGGUUAAUAACCUUGCCGAUUGACGUUACCCGCAGAAGAAGCACCGGCUAACUCCGUGCCAGCAGCCGCCGUAACAC
rnacentral:rRNA from 1 species